rnacentral:rRNA from 1 species
CUCAGUUCGGAUUGGAGGCUGAAACCCGCCUCCAUGAAGUUGGAUUCGCUAGUAACCGCGCAUCAGCCAUGGCGCGGUGAAUACGUUCCCGGGCCUUGUACACACCGCCCGUCAAGCCAUGGGAGCUGGUGGUGCCUGAAGUUCGUGACCGCAAGGAGCGCCCUAGGGUAAAACCGGUGACUGGGGCUAAGUCGUAACAAGGUACC